AAACACAGAACUUGCUGGUCCUUACUCUCACAAACAUUUCUUCAACAACAAGAAAUACAGAACACAAGAGCUAAACCUGCUAAAAUUAGCAAAAUUACCUCCUUAAAUCUAAUAAUAUUCGGAUGCUUAAGGGACCGGUGGUUCAUAAUCUCCC